rnacentral:rRNA from 2 species
ACGGCGAGUGAAGCGGCAACAGCUCAAAUUUGAAAUCUGGCCUCGGCCCGAGUUGUAAUUUGCAGAGGAUGCUUCCGGCGACGUGCCUUCCGAGUCCCCUGGAACGGGGCGCCUGAGAGGGUGAGAGCCCCGUACGGUUGGACGCCGAGCCUGUGUGAAGCUCCUUCGACGAGUCGAGUAGUUUGGGAAUGCUGCUCUAAAUGGGAGGUAAAUUCCUUCUAAAGCUAAAUACCGGCCAGAGACCGAUAGCGCACAAGUAGAGUGAUCGAAAGAUGAAAAGCACUUUGGAAAGAGGGUUAAACAGUACGUGAAAUUGCUGAAAGGGAAGCGCUCGCGACCAGACUCGCGCCGGGCGGAUCAUCCAGCGUUCUCGCUGGUGCACUUCGCCCGGCCCGGGCCAGCAUCGGUUCUAGCGGGGGGACAAAAGCCCGGGAAACGUAGCUCCCUCCGGGGAGUGUUAUAGUCCCUCGCCUAAUAUCCCCGCCGGGACCGAGGACCGCGCCUCGUGCAAGGAUGCUGGCGUAAUGGUCGCCAGCGACCCGUCUUGAAACACGGACCAAGGAGUCGAACAUUCGUGCGAGUGUUUGGGUGGAAACCCCUCACGCGUAAUGAAAGUGAACGGAGGUGGGAGCCUCGGCGCACCAUCGACCGAUCCUGAAGCUUGUCGGAUGGAUUUGAGUGGGAGCAUGACUGUUCGGACCCGAAAGAUGGUGAACUAUGCCUGCGUAGGGUGAAGCCAGAGGAAACUCUGGUGGAGGCUCGCAGCGGUUCUGACGUGCAAAUCGAUCGUCAAACGUGGGCAUGGGGGCGAAAGACUAAUCGAACCAUCUAGUAGCUGGUU